GAGCUUGCUCUUGAUGACGAGUGGCGCACGGGUGAGUAACGCGUAUGCAAUCUACCUAUAACUGAGGAAUAGCCCAGAGAAAUUUGGAUUAAUACCUCAUAGUAUUAUUAUUUGGCAUCAUUUAAUAAUUAAAACUCCGGUGGUUAUAGAUGAGCAUGCGUUCUAUUAGCUAGUUGGUGAGGUAAGAGCUCACCAAGGCUACGAUAGAUAGGGGGCCUGAAAGGGUGAUCCCCCACACUGGUACUGAGACACGGACCAGACUCCUACGGGAGGCAGCAGUGAGGAAUAUUGCACAAUGGAGGAAACUCUGAUGCAGCCAUGCCGCGUGCAGGAUGAAGGCCCUAUGGGUUGUAAACUGCUUUUUUACAAGAAGAAACCCUGGUACGUGUACCAACUUGACGGUAUUGUAAGAAUAAGCACCGGCUAACUCCGUGCCAGCAGCCGCGGUAAUACGGAGGGUGCAAGCGUUAUCCGGAUUUAUUAGGUUUAAAGGGUUCGCAGGCGGAAUUUUAAGUCAGUGGUGAAAGCCUACAGCUCA
rnacentral:rRNA from 1 species